GGACUACCGGGGUAUCUAAUCCUGUUUGCUCCCCACGCUUUCGCGUCUCAGCGUCAGUCAUCGUCCAGAAGGCCGCCUUCGCCACCGGUGUUCCGCUUGAUAUCUACGAAUUUCACCUCUACACCAAGCAUUCCGCCUUCCUCUCCGAGACUCAAGCUGGGCAGUUUCGGGUGCACUUCCGUGGUUGAGCCACGGGAUUUCACAUCCGACAUGCCCUGCCGCCUACACGCGCUUUACGCCCAGUAAUUCCGAACAACGUUUGCACCCUCUGUCUUACCGCGGCUGCUGGCAC
rnacentral:rRNA from 1 species